UGUUAAAAAUUUCAUCCAUUUCUACAGUUAAAAACUAGUAUGACAAACGGAAUAACUAGACGAUUAUACAUGGUGUGCUACCUAUAUCUCAUGCUAAUAUAUAUAGACCAGUUUUUAAUAGUAAAAAUUGAUGAAAUUUUUAACU
rfam:Gossypium hirsutum cultivar TM-1 chromosome 22, whole genome shotgun sequence